UACGGGGGGGGCAAGCGUUGUUCGGAAUUACUGGGCGUAAAGCGCACGUAGGCGGAUCUUUAAGUCAGGGGUGAAAUCCUGGAGCUCAACUCCAGAACUGCCUUUGAUACUGGCGAUCUCGAGUCCGGGAGAGGUGAGUGGAACUGCGAGUGUAGAGGUGAAAUUCGUAGAUAUUCGCAAGAACACCAGUGGCGAAGGCGGCUCACUGGCCCGGUACUGACGCUGAGGUGCGAAAGCGUGGGGAGCAAACAGG
rnacentral:rRNA from 1 species